CCUACGGGUGGCAGCAGUGGGGAAUAUUGCACAAUGGGGGAAACCCUGAUGCAGCGACGCCGCGUGAGUGAAGAAGUCUUUCGGUAUGUAAAGCUCUAUCAGCAGGGAAGAAAAAAGACGGUCCCUGACCAAUAAGCCCCGGCUAACUACGUGCCAGCAGCCGCGGUAAUACGGAGGGGGCAAGCGUUAUCCGGAUUUACUGGGUGUAAAGGGAGCGUAGACGGUGCGGGAAGUCUGAAGUGAACGGCAGGGGCUGAACCCCUGAACUGCCUUUGAAACUGCCAUGCUAGAGUGCUGGAGAGGUACGUGGAAUUCCUGGUGUAGCGGUGAAAUGCGUAGAUAUUAGGAGGAACACCAGUGGCGAAGGCAGCUUACUGGACAGUAACUGACGUUGAGGCACGAAAGCGUGGGGAGCAAACAGGAUUAGAUACCCCAGUAGUC
rnacentral:rRNA from 1 species